ACAGACAGACAGUGACAGACAGAAAGACCCAUUUAAGAUGUUCUGCCAUGCCCUUCCCAACUUGAAACCAAAACCUUUAAAACUCAGUGGACUAAUAAGCCCUUCCUUAAAGACUAAGGAUAGCAAUCCUUAAUUUAUUUCUGUCAGAUACUUUGUCAUAGCAAUGAAAAAUCUAAUAUCAUGGCUGGUGGCUGACCCUCAGUAAAACCCUGGACACUAACCAAGGCUCAGGUGGGCUUCACUGGCUUGCAGUGCUUUGUACAUGCCACUGCUAAGAGAAUGAAGGGUCCUGCUCCACUGGGACACUAUCUACAAAACUGCUCCAGUUCUCUGCCAAACUACUGCCUACGUGCCUUUCAGCUUUGUCAAACUUAAGCUCUAUCUUUUCAUUGUAGUGACUUGUAUCCAUGACUGUUAACAGCUCUGAGUCUUCUUAGUGGCAAAAGAGAAACACAGCCUAGCACUGCCACCAGGGCCUGAAGUUCCCUCCUCUUAGGGAAGGCAAAAAGGAAUGAAUCUCAAGGGUUGUAUCCCAUGAUCCUGUCAGUACUAUACAGCCUGCUAUUAUGGAUACAUAGUAUUUUACAUCAGACACUGAAAUCUCCAGCACGACUUUCUGCUAAGGACUGCUUUUGCUAUUUGGGAGUCUUCUGUGCAUCUGUAUGAAAAACGUUGGACUAUUCUACUGAGACCUUGAGGUACACCAUGAAACAGAAAAAAUAGGAAGAAAAGCUUUACAGGAUAUGCAAGUCAGAACUCGGAGAAUAUAUACAAUGUCCUGUAUCAGUAAAGAUGUGAAAGGUA